UUUGGAUUUAAUACUGUAUUCUCAAAGUAUUGUUCAUAUUGAUAGUUAUUUUACUGUUUCAUUUUGAGUGACAGUUCUGAGGCUCUUGAGGGAAAUACUCUGAGUUAGAAGAACAGUGCUUCUAUUUUCUUUCAUGAAUCAGAAGUACCUCUUUCAUUUCUUGCAUGAUGUUGUCAAGACAACAGUGUCCUAAAUUGCACUUAUACUGUUCACCACAGUAUUCUGAAGCACACAAUAUUUUGGAGAACCACAGUGUUUUGGAGCAACUUUUAUUGUGGAAAUAUUUCUAAACUUGAGCAGCUCUCCUUUUCCUACCUAUUUUCAAAGUAUUUAAAAUCUGUGUUACCUGUAACUCAUUUUUUCCUGGUUAAAAAUUGCUUGGCAUUUAAGAUCUACAUCAAAAAUCUUCUGUGUUUUUUUUUUUUUUGUUGUUGUUCGUAUGAGUGUGAGAAUAUUCAGAGUAUGUGCUAAAUGUUCAAACAAAAAAUGCCACAUAUGCAAAAUAAGGAUUAAGGAUCUAGAAGGAAAAUUACAGAAAUGAAAAACACUGAUUCUCUACAACUAUGAUGCCUCAGAAAUGUGUGACAUUUUCUAUUAUUCUGUAGUGUGAUUACUUUAUACAUUCAUAUACUUGUGCAGUGUGGCCAACAUUUUAGUAACUUUUCUUUCAGCAAUUUGGCCCUUUUACAGGCUCAGCUAAUGUUGCACUAACAUGCUUUUUUAAUAUUUAAUUUCCUUGACUGAAUCUAUAAAACAAAGAAGAGAAAGUUUAAAAUAACAAGAAGUACACUGACCUAAAUUCACUUCAAAGUUUAUGCUGGCUUCUGCUGUGUACUGUUAGCAGAGGAGCCAGAAGUUUUUUGGUGAAUGCAUCAGCAGAAAUACUUGUAGUCUCUCUUCUUGUGAAAGAGUCAUGCCAGAACAGGGCAGGCCCAGAAGGACUGGCCAUGAAGAAGUGGCAGCAAGGUUGGUGCCGGCCUCUUCAGACCUUUUCUUUCCUGGAGAUGUGUAAUCUUGUUGAUCAGAAGGUUUUUGAUAGUAAUGCUUAAGGAUCCUGACAAUAUGAAUCCUCCUAAGAAAUUCUGAGCAUACACUCAAAGUUGGAUAAGAUGAAAAAAAUGUUAUUGAAUUUAGACCGAGGACUUUGAUUACUGGAAUAAUUAACACAAGAAUAAGAAUGUGUGUGGUAAGAUUCAGAUCAUGGCUACAAAAGUAUUUGUUAUCAUUUCCAUAUCAAAAUUAGCACUGUCCAGAAAUGAGAGAUGAAGAACCAGCUUAUAUCAAGCCUCUGCCACCCCACUCCAAGGCCAUAGCAAUUCAUUCCAUUUUAGGAAGAGCAUCCUAUUCCAAAUCACUCCUACUCUUUCUUCAGGUAACUAGAGAGCUCUUCUGUGGAAAAAAAAAAAAAAAAAUACAGCUCAGGAGUCAUGUUAGAAUUAGUUCUUACCUACGUAUAAAAACCAUCCACAGAUGUCACCUGCUAGAAAUUCCGUGCUGAGAUUGCAAAGACCAGCACUUCUAUGUUAGGAAAUGUCAUAUUUAUAGCUGCCAACAGAACCUUAAGUUAGCCCCUUUCUAUGUUAAGAUAUACUCUUUAAUUGCAUAAUCACAUACUACUUUUUCCAAAGGACCUCUGCCUCACCCAGGGCACAGGACCUACAAGAGGGCUGCGGAGAGGUUAUGCAGGCAGACAUAAAUCUGUCACUUCCUAAAUUGGCUGUGCUUGACUUUGCAGCCUAAAUAAUUUUGCUUUCAGGGAGGUGCAUACAAUUUAUAUAUUUUAAAUCUUAAAUCAUGCUAGAGAACCAUUCUGUAAAUGGUUUCCUUCGGUGGGACUUUGGACAUCAGCUUGAAGACUCCUGAAGGAGGCAUAGUUAAGAAAUUAAUAAUCCAGUAAACACAGCCUCUAUGCAUUUUAAACAUGCAUAGACUAACACUUCAUUUGCUCUCAGUUUGGAGUGUCACAUGGUGUUUCAAGUGCUAAAAGAUUUACUAUGGUUUAUGGCUCAAAUAUUUCUAGGUCAAUUUGUCAUUUAGCACCAAACUACCCUGUCCUGCAGCACACUCAAAGGCUAAAGAGCAUGGAAGCAUUCUCCUGCGUAACUGCCCAUGGACUGGAAUAGCUUCUGUGACCUUUCUCUUGCUCUUAGGAUAUUUCAUGAAAUUAAUUAUUAAAAUGCUAGGCCUUAGGUCUAUCUGUGAUGUAAUGCUUGAAGUUUUCAGAGCAAAACCAGAUUCUUUCAGUCAUAACAAUUUUUAUAUAUUAAACAGUAUCUACUUGAAAAGAGAGAUCCUUCAGUGUAAUUGUGCUUUUUUAAUCAACUGUAUUACCACUUUGCCCUUCUGCAAAGCACUAUUAACUAAGUGCAUUUCCAUUAAAUUUCAAAGUAUACCUUAGUCUUUCUGACUGGAUGUUACUUUCAAAAUACUCAAGUUCUGGCAAGUAUGACCUCAGGUGCAAACAAAACUUUAUUUGCUAGAAAUAAGCUAUUUAGUUGUGAAGCUUUGAUUAUGGUUCCACAAUUAAAGCAUUUGGACAUGACUGCAGUGAGUGGGAUGAAACAAGUACACAGCAAAUAAUGAGCAGGAAACAAAAACAGGUAAAAAGAAUGAAGUUUGCGGGAUAGAUCGUCACAUCUAAUUCUGCUAACAUUGCAAAUGGCAGAACAUCUUUCCUGGUCAUUUCAUGUCCUCCUUCAGACAGUUAAGUGAGGAGAAUGUUAUGGCAGUAACAAGAAGAACUUGUCAGAAGAACAAGAAAGUUUAACGGGAAGGAUUUUGGAAAAUAUCUGCCCUUGUUUUGCACUGAAUGUUAAACCACAACUAGAGGCUGGAUAUCUAUCCAUAGUUAACAGCAAUCAGAAUGAGUCUUCAGGCCAAGAGACUUGUGUUUGAGAGGUGGCCAAGUCAAUGGUCACGUCAUUUGUGAAAAGAAUUUGCUAUGGAAUUUCCUAUUAGUCUGUCAAUCAGAACAGAAACUAUUAUUGAGUGGCAAAUGCAUUCAGACGCAGCUCCAAAACUGAUCCUGCAAGGAGAGAUCUUUUAUGAUCAAAGUUUUCAUAGCCUCAGUAAUUGUUGAUUUUGAGUAGAGAUUCAGCUGUGAAAAACUGAAAACUUUCUAUGCAGUUACAUGCCUGGUACAUAGGAUAGAUGAACAAUAUAUCUAAAGACCUAAAGAUGAGGCAGCACUGAAAGAAUCCUUCAUUUUUCUUGUUCCAAUUUCUCUCCAUCUGGGUUUACUAGAUUACCCAACAAAUAUGAACUAAUAUUCUAGUCUGCAGAGAGUUCUCCUCCUCAUGUUUGGAGAAACUAGGGAUUUCAUAACAGUUUUAUGAGAUGAGUUUAGAGUUGCUCUUUGGAAAUGUGUUUUUAAACAGAGGAUGUGUUUUAUCUCUCUUUAGAACAUAUUUUCUUGUUUAAACUGGCAGAGAACUCAUUAUUUAAGCAGUGCGGAUCCAGGGCCCAAACUGCGUUGACCUUAAAUAGAAUCCUUGUGAAGACAAUGCUGAAACAGUGAAGCUCAGUUUUGUGUUGAAGACCAGGGUCAGUGAGAAGUAUUUCAGUUGUUAUGCUAUCCUGAUGUAGAAAGCAAAUGAAAGGCUUCUGUGCAUUGUACUGACAUGAUUUGUCUGAAUGAAUGCAGACACAUCAUGACCUGAAGUUGUGCUUAGAGGGGUGUGAAUAUAAAAGAGUCUGUUGAUGAUGGAAGCCUACCACUGCUUUUGGAAAGAUCCCAGCAUAUCACAGUGAAGUUAUGCAACUAAUCUUUUGCUAUUUAUUGCAACCUUUUGCUAAUCUAUUACAUCAUUGUAAUGAUGUGGUACAAAAUAGGAUGGUUUAUCAGUAUAUUCAAAGCUUGUGAACAUGACAGACAACAUUAGAGGUUAUCAUCAGUGUUAGGUCAGGAACAUGGAAUUGGAGCUGCCCUAAAGAUGCAGACAAAGGCAUACAAUUUGUGGCCUAUUGUGGGACAUGCAUAUUAUAUUACGAUGAGUAUUUGAGUUUUCUGUUAGGCUACUCCUUAUGCAAUACAUGUAAAAGAGAAGCAUAUAACCAAAAACAGACCUAACAAGAAAAAAUGAUUACAGUAUCUGACAAUAUCUAAGACCUUGUGCUCAUGCAGGACUUGAGGAAAACAGAGUUCUCAUGAAAAGCAGAAUUGCAGAUUUGUUUUUCCAUUAACUCAGUUGGUCAAAGAGUGAGGAGGUGACACCUAACAAGUUGCCUGUUUUUAUUCCUGUUCUGAGAUGGCCACUCAUUCUCUUCAUUUACUGCAUGGAAGCUUGCAUCUUUUUUAGCUCUGUGUACUCUAUAGCCAAGGAAGGUGCACCUAGCACAUCAGGCAUUAUGCCCCCAAAUAUGAAACAUUCUGGGGCCUUAAAUGGAUGUAACCCUUAGUUUAGAAAGUCUUGAAAGGGUAAAAAUGUUACUGUCACUCAAAUAAUCACUUGUGGCCAAAGCUCAUAGCUACUAUCAGGCAGAGCCUAAGCAGCCCCUGGGACUUUAAAGGCAAAAUGUCAAGGGUAGAUCUAAACCAUACAGUUAUACCUGAGGUCAGCUAGACAUACCCAGCUUAGAUGGUAUUUCUGCAUGAUUCAGACAUGAACCCCAGCAACUGUAUAGCUGCUUCAGCAUAGCAUUGUGUACAGGGGUUUGACUCACUCAGUAGAACCACUUGGUGUGAAAAAUCUCUAGUACAACUGUUCUGUUUGUUUGUUUGUUUAUUUAGGGGAGGAUGGGGUGGGGGAGGAAGGGAAGUGAAGGCAAUGUAUUCCCCAUCUGAAGUUUGUUGUUCAAAAUUAUUUCUGCCAUUUGAAAAGUGAUUUGCCUAUUGUUUAGGCAGUAAUUUAUGUCAGUUAUUUAAAAGGACUUAGCACAAGUAUCACAUUUUUCAUGCUUCUGUGCUCCUUGAAAGAGAAAGGGAUUUAGAGAAAUGCUGAGAUUUUUGAAGGAGGUCUGAAAACAAUGGAACCUUCCUGGAAAAAAAAUAAAUCAAUGUAAUUUGUUCAGUUCCUUUAGAAACCUAGCCUCUGCCUUCAGAGUUUUCUCAACAGGCUAUAUUUUUUCUCAACCACUAGCAAAACAAAGCUAAAGGCUUUCCCAAGGGAAAUCUGCUUAAGCCUGUUGCAAUGUCUGUGAGGAGUAUGGGUGCUGGUGGAGAGUGAUACAGGGAGGAACUGUGCUGUCAACAACAGGAAGUUGGUGAAAAAUGAGCAGUGCCCCUGGGGAGGUGAAUGCAGAGCAGAUGGCUCUAAUUGUGAGUCACACUGUGACAACUGACAAGAGAAAUUCUGCACUCUUGACACUUUAAAGAUACCAAAAAUACCAGAGAGCGCAUUCCAUGGCUUCUUGAAGACUUCCAUAUCGAGGGAGCUGGGGGGGGAGAGCUCCAACUCCUCCUGUUUCCAUCACUAAACAGCCCAUAAAAUUUGCUGUUGAUAAGCUUCCAAGCAGCCAAACAUUCUAAUACUUAGAUAAGUCACUAACGUUAAUAAAAACACUGAAGAAAUAAGAAGGAAGAGGUGAAAAGGGGAUUCAUGUGCAGGGCAGCACCAGUUGCUUUAGAUACUGAUCCUUUCAAUUAAGGGGCGGUUCUGGAUAAGAAAGGGGAAAGUAACAUCCUUGUUUAUAAGUACUGAUAGAUUUUGAAAUCUCUCUCUCUCUUUUUUCUUUUUUUUUCCAUCUGGUAUGACUGCAAACAUUUUCUUUAUGUAUUUCAAUUACUGCCCGGAUACAGAGUUGCAGAUUUAUACUGUGCUUCUUUAGUGGAGUAACAAAAAGUCAAGACCAGAAACCAUUCAUAUUUGGUUGAAUUUUUUUUUUUUUUUUUGGGGGGGGGGGUCAGGGAGGGUGGGGGUGGGGGUGGGAUGACUGCUUGGCUUGGGUAGGGCUGCAGAUGUCAACAAAGCUACCCCAGAAAUAAUUUCUUCUGCUGUAUUUGCUUGCUUAAUGCCCCUGCUUUAAGAUCAAUGCUAUGAUAGCUCGGCAGUCCAUUUCUCGAACAUAACCUGUUCUAUCCAAGUGCACCCAAAAAACAUAAAUCAGCUCUUUUAGUUGGAACCCGGUGACCAUUAAUUUCAGGCUGAGGCAUUAUUGUUAUUCUCUUCAUACCGUGCAAAAUAUUUCCCUGGAUUCUGACAAGGGGAGGAACUUUCAUAGUGUUAGAAAUAUUACUGGGAGCAUCUUGUUCCGACUGGAUUCAGAUCUCUGUUAUUUUGGCAUUCUCUUCUGCUUUUCAAAUUGCUGUUAUUUGAAAGUUACUAACAAUGGAAGAGUGCAUCUGAUCGCUUGGGAAGGCAGCUACAAUGCACAACUGUUCCUCCUACAGAUGUUAAGCUGCUGCUCAAGGUCAUAAAACAUUUGAAUGUCAUUUCUUGAAUAAGUGCUCAUGCUCUGAGGUGGAGGGUUAGCUCACGCAGGUCAUACAGUUCAGCAACUCUAAGUUCAGUCCAGAAUUUCUGCACUGGAGGCAUCCUUACCAUUUUCUAUAAUUAUUAUUUUCCUUUAUAUUAUACCAUUAUGAUAGACUGCAAAUUUUUCUGUGAUUUUUUUUUUCCUUGUGGGAUAAGUGCUAUAUAGAGACACCUGGCGCAAACUGAAUAAGUUACAUGGAGUUGUAGCAGUAGCACAUCCUUUGUGUUGCACUCUGCUUAGCUUAGCUUGGCUAAUUUGCUCUAUUAAGUGUCUCUGUAAAUUGUAGUACCUGCAGUAGUUGUGGCACUUUACAUGGCGUCAUCUGGAAAUCCCUCUAUGUAGCCUUGCUCUCAGAACUGCUACGUUACACCCCUGAGGUUGUGUACUUCUUCUGUCCAGUAAUUUUGAGUCACUAGCACAGCUUAAGUUGAGAAUAAUAUAAAUCCUUGGGCAUUAUAAAACAUGAAUGUCCCUUUGUAACUGCUCUCCCAGACCAGCAUUUGACUUAUUUGCUAGCAGUUAUUUUAUAUAAGGUCAACUGCUGUUGCCUUUGCUAAGAUUUUGUUGCCUCCGUGAAAAGCCCUGGAUUUACCACGAGUAGAAAUAAAACUACCAAAAUACUUGUGUUGUUAUGCUUUAGGUUUCGUGGUAGGUUGGGUAACACACAUGUAUAUUAGGCUACAUUUUCUGAAAACAUGAACAAGGUCACAAAGAGAUAUGCAGACGCACACAUCCUCCAAGUUUUCUAAGAUAUGCAAAACCCUGCCAUCAUUCUGUGGGAUCAGCAGUGCAAGAGAAGCCUACGGUGAUGAGGAGCCAAUAUGCAGGCCUCAGGGAGCCCCUACUUUCACAUUUGGUGUGAAUUCCAAAGCUUGCCUGUUGUGCUGUUAUUUAUUCCUGCUGGUCAUAAUGAAGGGGGAAAGGAACAAGUAUCAUGUUCACAAAUUUGGUUCUUGAAUCCUUGGCAGAAAUUUUGAGAUCACAGCUCUUCUGUCCUCUGAAAUGCUUUCACUUGGAGAAGUUGUAUGAUGUGGUGGAAUUUCUUUCUUCUUUAUAUCUGUGUUGGCUAAAACAAGACAGAGGAGCUUGAAAAGGCUCACCCUCCUCAAGGAAUGCUAUCUGAUUCGUAAGCAUUCCUAGAGGUUAAGGCUGGUGACUAUCAAGAAAGCAAAUACUUCACGCAAGGGUAAGUCCUCUAAUUGUGUUUGUGUUGAAUAGCUGCCAGAUCCCCAUGUCAGGAUGUCUGCAGUCACGGCUCUGAUCUCACCAUUCCUUCCUAGGCUGUUGCACAAUUGUGUUGCGUGUUUGUGGUAGGGGAGAAAGUUGGAGAGCUGAGCUAUGAAACCAUCUCGGGGAAGGAAGCCAUGUUUUAUUUUAGUUGCUUGGUUUGGAUAAAAGCCUGUAGGAGAUUGAAUAACAUAUAAAAACAUAAUGUGGCCCAUUCAUGGAAACCAAACCUGGUCUUCUGUGCAGAUAUGUGAAAUAUGAGGUUUAAUACGCAGGGUGGAAAAGGAAAUGUCAGUGAAAAUGUGUUCACUGGCAUAGUAGAAAUCCUAAUAUACACAAGUGAUAACUCACUGCCUGUUCUAUGGCGAAUCUCAUCUGUAGUUGCAGGGUCUGUUGGGCCUAGAAUUGCAAAUACAAUGAGGGAGCAUUUGGAAAGCUUGUUGUGAAUCUACCCUUCUUGUAAAUCACUUCAAGAUCUUUUGUGGAAGUCAAUUGAGACAAAACAGUGACAAAUAACAGGUUAAUUGUAAAAACAGAAAGAGACUUGGAGGUACUGCGGGCCAUGAGCUUAGCAAUAGCUAAAGAAGGAAGGAAUAUCACAGUUCCGUCCAGCCAGAGCAGAGGAGUUUGUGGGACUCUGAGCACAUGUAAGAGUUGAAGGCUGCCCUGGUUAAACAAACAUUCUGUUCCUGAGAGAAGACAGCAGUUGCCUUAGCCACAGAAAUGUUAAUUCAAAGUAAUAUCCUGAUUACUCUCAGAACUAUAAAUCUUUUUUAGAUGAUCAAGUUGUGCAUUACUGCUCUUUGGUUAGAACAAAGCAAAUUUCACAGAAGUCUAAUUUUACUACUGAAAAAAUAGUAGGCUGGGUGGAUCUAUGACUAUCAUGUCAUCUGACAUAAUAAAAGACUGUGAUCUGGUAGCAAUGGUUGAGGAGGAUGUCAGUUCCACUUCCUAAACCAAGAACUGGAGAAUUAUCCAGAGCAAUAAAGAACUUGUACAAAUAAUACUGGGGAAAUCAGAAGUUAAUCUGAAUACCAGCUCACUUAAUCUCAUCGGUAUGAAUAGCUCCCUGCCAGCUACUCCAUCACCUGAAACAGGGGUCAAGUGAUACACAUCAGUCAGUCCUCUCAUUAAAAAAAUCCACCACCACCAAAUCCUACCUUCCUCUGAAAGAGAAAAAAGCCAAAACAAAACAAAACAAAACCUUCGUCUCCAAAUCUCAAAUAUCAUCGCUCCUGAUAAGUACUAAAAUGUCCCUCAUCUCUCAAUUGCACUUCAUAUCCUGAGCUACAUAGAUUAGCUGUUAGAGAUAAGAAUAUGAAAUGUAAAGUGAUAUUAAUAAUCAUGUUGCAACCUGCUAGCCUCUCUCUCUGGCAGCUAUGCCUUGUGUUGUUUGUGCAACCUGGUCUAGUAAAUGGGGAGGUUGGUGGCCCUGCCCGGCAGGGGGGUUGGAGAUUCAUGAUCCUUGAGGUCCCUUCCAACCCAGGCCAUUCUGUGAUUCUGUGAUUUUGUGAUUCUGUGUUGUAAAUAGAGGUGGUCACUGAGUCGGCUCAGGUACAUAGGAUCUCACCGCAUGUCAUUCAGCAGCAUUAGCCCACAUGCACACCUUCAGGGAAAACAGUAUAAGUCAUCUCAGUGGAGAAAUAGAUUAUUAAAAAAAAAAAAAAAAAAAAAAAAGGAACAAGCAAGACAGAGCAGGAACAAGGAGAAAUACUAUGUUUGUACUAGCUUCCUCUGGAGUAGGAAAAGAAAAUUUGUCAGCUGAAAGUGGAAGGAAGGAAAGCAAACCAUAACCCUGGACUUUGAAAGGUGUCACCUAAUUGACAUCAAACUAUACAAAUUAUAUUUUGUUUCUUAUUAUCCUCACCACUUGUAGAUACAUAUUAAAGUUUUUGCCAAGACAGUAUUUUCCUGCCCUUUCUUUUUAGUAUGGGUGACAUUUUGCUGUCCCAAAACAUAGGUAACACCUACCAGCGGUGUUAAAAUACCACUUGCAGUAAGAAAAGGUUCCUGAAACAAUACUGUGGUGUUUGAGUCAAACAUUUGUUUUCAGAGAUCUACAUGGUAUUUUUCUAAAUUUUUGGGAAGGCACAGAAGAUGACCUUUGUGCUUUUCUUGGUAACUGAGAGAAAGAAGGAUUGAGUCAUCUGCACUAUAAUGUAGAAUUAUUCUUUAGGUUAGAGGCUGCCCACAGAAAAUCUGAUUUGUUUUCCUUUCUCUAGACUUUUUUCUUCAUGUGUUUUAGAUUUAAACUAAUGUAAACUAAUUAGAAGCAAAGGAGAAGACAACUAUAUUUAGUUUUAAUGUAUUUUUAAUUUUAUUUUGUAAUAUAGAAGCAGAGGUUAUUUCCUGAAAUUGACCAAGGUAUUCUUAGCUUGUUUUCUUGACUUCACACUUAGAUAAAAAUACUGUAAACUGAAAUCACUUGGGAAAAAUGCCUUCUUCACACUCAAAUUGUUAUUCAUCAUCACUCUACCUAAGAAAAAAAUACCACAUGUAUUUGAAUGAGCCACCGGUAACUUAAAUUUAAAUGAUUCUACAAUUGACAGGAAAGGCCUUCUGUGGAACAGCUGCCUUUAGCAGUGUAUGUGUGUUUAUAUUCAUGAAAAGUCUACAGCCAAACUAGAAGCAAUUCAAAAUGACUGUAGUGAAACUUUGCUCUUUUAAGAAAUUAUAUGGUCAAAGGAAAAAAAAAAAAAAAAAAGGAGAAACAUAUAAAAUCGGUUAAUUUAGAUUGUUAUUUGUGGAGAACAGAUUACUGUUUCACUUUGUGUUUCUCUGUGAGUUAUCGCUCCUUUUUCUUUCCAAACAUAAACAACCUUUCUCUCUCUUUCCACUCUUUGAAUUUCAAAGGGGAGAGUGAUGGGAUGAAGACUUUUUUUUCAGUUGAAAUGCCGAGACAGUAAUGAAAGAAAAUAUUCUAUGCAUUCUUGGAAAGCCAAACACCUGCUAUUGAAAGGGAAAUUAUGGCCAAGAAAAAGAAAAAGAAAGAAAAGGAAAAAGGAACAGGUGCAGUUAAUGGGCCAGACUAAAGUAUCAUGGGAGAUUUUCAAAUCCACAGAUGAAUUUAGCUGUACCAUUUCUAAGUAUUGUUUACUUCAGUUUUCUAAGUUUGCAAUUUUCCUUGAAUAUGAGUUUCAGGGGGAAGUCCACUUGAAAUAAUUGUAGAUUUUUUGGAGAAAAAAGAAAAAAAACGCCAUAGAAUAUAACAAGAAUAAAUGCCAGCAUACACUAAUUUUCCACUGUAAAAACAAUACACUGGAAAAUAUUACCAAGCAUUGUCAGUGAGAACAAGAAUAGUGUAGCCUUACGCCUCUGCUUUUUAUUUCAUUAUUUUUAUUUCAAAAACGUCUUUGAAUGGAGAAUAAGGUCUGAGCAUUUGUCCCACACAAGCAACAGGAUCUUUUUUUUCCCUUUGUUUGUUUAAGAGAACCCAUACUCCUACCUACACUCCCUGUGGGGAGUAUUUAUCUAAAGAUGUACUGGAGAAUAGUAAAUUUAUAAAAAAGUAACUCUGUCAAUGCAUGAAAUCAUUACAUUAUUAACUAAAAUGUCUUUUAGUCCCCUGCAUCCCUUCCUCCAAGGAUAUGCAUGCAUUGAUAAACAUGCAUUGAUUCUGUGAAACACGACUUUCAAAGUUUUGCAAUUAUACAAAAAUUACUUUGUACUGUAGAAUUAAAAACCCUCUACCUUAUUAAUGGAAAACUCAUGCUCAUCUCAAGGUCAAAUUCACACAUUGUGCUGAUCAACACCCAGCAAAUCCGUUUGGUUAGUUGGUGUCCAUAAUACUAUUCUACAUCUUUCAUUCUUGCCCAUAUAUAUUUUGUAAGGUCUACCAGUGAUAUAUUUUAUUGACGUAGUUUUGCCUUAUUCUAAUGGAUAUAGUAAGGGAGCUUUUUUAUCACAUAUUCUAUCCUUAGCAGACUCCCUUUAUAUUCAAUAUUGAUUUUUUAAAAAGUAUUAUUUUUUAUUUUUUUAUUUUUAUUUUUUAUUUUGUGAACAAACCUGUGUAGUCAAAAAUGCUAACUGCUUUUCUUGGAUUGUUUUGUUAUUACUUCUGUUUUCCAUGAAUUCGUAUGUUCUUCCAGCACAAUAAUGCAUUGCACAUGAAUUCAAAGUAAUAUCAAUAACUGUGCUGUCUAUCUCUUUUGUUCCAGUGAUUCACUUUACUUAGGAACAUCUAUGUGGAUGUAGUCGUUACCCCUGAGAUAAUAUCACACACUACAUUCCUUCAUAAUAAUGGAUUUUAAUUUGAAAUUAUGGAAAAAUGAGCUGAUCAAAAAUAACCCAUAGGCGAUGGAAUGAACUACAUAUAAAAUCGUCAGCAGGUCUAAAUUAAUCUGUCUCUCUUUUCUACAGAUCAGGGUGGAUUUUUUUUUUCUUCCUUUAAAAAAAAAAAACACACACAAAAAUAAAAAAAAAACAACUGUUCUUAACGCUUGAACAAAUCCCUUUUUCUUCCCCUCGAUAAUGUGGUUAACUGUCUGGAAUGUGAGCCACUGGAAAUUCUUCCCCACAGAAGAAUCCCCAUUAAGCUUUCAAGCAGACUUACUUCAUCCCCACAGCUGCAUGGAUAGAAGACUUUCUAGUGCCUAAAUACUUACUGUAUAUGUCAUCCUUAAAUUUAAUUUUUUUUUUUUUUUUCCCAGCCAGAGCUCUAGGAGCAGGUGCUAGCAUUUUGCUUCCUUUCUGCUUCCUCUGUGGGGAACGGGCUAGAAAGAGCCAACUAAUUAGAAAAUUCUACAGGGAAAUCAAUUCUGCAAACAGCUGAGGAAUGGCAUUUCAGUAUAAUGCUCACUUUGUCUGUCAGCAGGGCCUUGGUUGACUUGACAAGUGGCAGUUCUUCCAGAUGUUACACAUGUUGGGAUAAGACCAGAACUGCAUCGUACAUUGCCCAUUCAUGAAAAGCUGUGAUGCUCCAAAAGAGUAAAUAAAAUAAAACUGAUGUUAACGACAUACUAUAUUGCUGUCACAAGACAACAGCAUGGUAUUUUAACAUGUGUUUGAGGUGCAGCAAUGAACUUACUUUUAGUGAUUUGAGUAUUGAGUGGUGUCUUUGCUUUCAUUCAGGGGUAAGGCAGAGGGGUGGGGGGUUAAAGAGACGUGCAGAACCAUUUAGUGUGAAAGGGCUAGAUAGUCAAAGUUAUGCUUGCAUAUUGUACACAUCUAAAAAAUACGUGCAGAUCUGUUAUGUGUCUGAGCAAAAAGCCACUUUUUUAAAUAGUAGCUGGUUAUGUGUACAUGAGAAUAGUCACAUCUGCAUACACAGGCUCCCUUGUUCAGAGGCACUGGUGACUUGAAGCUACAAGGAUUGCCUGUUUGUAAGGAGACUGUUGUGAGAUGUUCAAGGAAACAGCAUUGUCUUGGAGAAGAAGAAGAUUUGUCAGAGACUUUGCCAGUACCAGUUUCACCAUCUUAGUAUUUCUUAGUUACAGUCUAAAACUGCAUUUAGCCACUUACCCCAUCUUAAGUGAUGUGUCAGGUUCUCAGAUCUCUUCUCAAGGCAGCCAUAGACCUCUGCAACACUCAAGCCAAGAACAGCAUAAAAAGCACAGUCCUCUUCCCAACCACAUUCCUUAUCUGUUCCUUCCAACCCCCUCCCCCCCCCCCCCCAUUUUUCCUCAAGCUAUUUGUAAUGUGAGGCAGUCUUCAUCAGCAGACUUCUCAUGUACACCAUUCUCAGAUAGACUUGGCAUCCAUUGUCUCUGUCCUGCCAGGAGAUGGCCUUGGGCUUUGCUCAGCUGUGCAGAAGUAUUCUCCAGACUCCAGAUGUCUGGGAAUUUGCUCUGGACUUAAUAUAUAAAUAAGAGCUUGUGAGCUUGUGAGUAAUAAAGACCUUCUUUCCUAUCUUUUUUUGGUCCAAACAUGAUUUUGCAAUUCACAUUAUUAUGAAUAUUUCUUUCUGUGGCAGCUCAUUUGUUUUUCAGAUGUCUUAUUUUCUCUUCUUGAGCUCUAUGCUGUACUCCUUAUCUCCGCCAUGAGUAUUAGAAUCCUUUUCCCGCCUGUGUCUCCUACCAACUAAUUUGUCAUAUCUAAGAAUACAGUAACUAAUAUGCUUGUGUACAAGUCCCGUAAAGACACAUUACUUUUCUGUAGAUGAUAAUUUCCCAAUGUAUUUUCCUCUUUUUUCGUGUUGGUUCUACUGUAGCAUGAUCGUUCACUUUCUCUUCCUUUUUUCGCUUUCACCCUUUCUCUCUUUCCAUUUUUCCAUUACAUCUCAGAUUCAGUAAUACUGUGUCAAAAAUCUGUUUACACUUGAUUUUCUAACCUGUCUGUUCUCCCCAGCACAAUUACAGUGCUUAGCACAUUACACAGUAUUGGAUUCAAGAACUGUUUUUAAUAGUAAACAAUCCAUAUCCUAUUACCAGUUCAGUAUUAUUCAGCGUAAGUUGUUUGAGAAUUAUUUGUGUACUUUUUCUAUUAAAAAAAAUUCAAAGCUUUGUAAUGCUCAUGCUGAAAUGUAGCCAUCUUCCAGCACUAACUGCUAAACUAACUAAAGAACAUUGACUUCAAAAGAGUAAUUUGCACAAAUGAAGAUCACUCUCGUAGCUGAAAAUAAUAACAUUCCAUCUUUUGCCUUUAAGAUAAAUGAAGCCAAUUUCUGUACCUUUUAAAUUUACUUGACGUGAUAACAAUUACAGGUUUCCAAAUGAGAUAUAAUUUCUUGUGAAGCCAUUGAAAUUAAAUCACUACUAAGUAUUAACACCUUCCUUUUAUCUAGUUAAUCAUUGAAAAAAAGCAAACAAAACCUCUUUCCAUGUUUUGACUGAUUUCUAUAGCUACAUGUGUUAAGAAAUUGAAAGGAUUAAAAAGUGCAACCUCAAAAAGAGGUGCAUGGACUCUAAAAUGUAAGCAAUUUGCUAAUUCCAAGACCUGUUUUUGUUAGAGAGGCCCUUGUCUCCCCACAUGUGGAAGAUUUGCUUUGCAGUCACAUUUUCAGAACUAAUUGACUUUUUAAUUUUUAAGUCCUAAAUGUAUCACUGCUUGGCCGUUUUCCAAAAUGCAUUGUAAUAUAUCUGAUGCAUGUAUUAUGAAAAUUUGUCAAGUGGUCCAUGUUUAAAACAAAAGUGUGUUUGCAUUUAAGGAUAAAAUUGCAUUAUUAAAUAUUAUCAUCACCUAUUCUUCCCAGAAUUACAACUUUUAUUGCAGAAUACUUAGUAAUUACAGGAACACUGCCAGCUGAAAUUUUUGAAGUGAUUGUCAAAUGCUAAAUAAAAUGGAAAAGGUUUGAUAUUUAUUUUAUGUAAAUGUCCAGCUAGAUUGUCUUUAUACAUUGCCUACAUAAAAAUUCUUAGUGAUUUAAUUUUCUAUUUAUUGGCAUUCAGAUUUUCAAAACACCAACCGAGUUGAUGCGGAAAUUUCUUUUUCUUCCAAUGUGUGUCAAUGGAUUAAAUCCUAAAAGAAAAAAAAAGAAAAAAAAGAAAAAAGCUAUAUUACUU
rnacentral:lncRNA from 1 species